GUAGUCAUGGCUGAGUGGUGAAGGCAAUGUAUUUGAAAUCCAUUGGGGUUUUCCUGCGCAGGUUCGGAUCCUGCUGGCUACG